rnacentral:other from 1 species
AUUUCUCUGAGAUGUUCGUCAGUGGGUAAGUCCCCUGAGCCGAUAUUUCAAAAAAAAAUAGAAUGUGGUGAUCUAUUACUUGUGAGCAUACCUGAUUCGUUCAGGCAGCCUAAUGGUGAUAGCACUAUGUUCACCUUGAACCACGGGUUCAAGGGUUACAGCCUACAACGGCAUCUUGGAGACCCC